rnacentral:rRNA from 1 species
CUACGGGGGGCUGCAGUGGGGAAUAUUGGACAAUGGGCGCAAGCCUGAUCCAGCAAUACCGCGUGUGUGAAGAAGGCCUGCGGGUUGUAAAGCACUUUCAAUUGGGAAGAAAAGCCUGAGGCUAAUAUCCUCGGGUCUUGACGUUACCUUUAGAAGAAGCACCGGCUAACUCCGUGCCAGGCAGCCGCGGUAAUACGGAGGGUGCGAGCGUUAAUCGGAAUUACUGGGCGUAAAGCGCGCGUAGGCGGCUUGUUAAGUCAGAUGUGAAAGCCCCGGGAUCAACCUGGGAACUGCAUUUGAUACUGGCAGGCUAGAGUGUGGUAGAGGGAAGUGGAAUUCCAGGUGUAGCGGUGAAAUGCGUAGAUAUCUGGAGGAACAUCAGUGGCGAAGGCGACUUCCUGGACCAACACUGACGCUGAGGUGCGAAAGCGUGGGUAGCAAACAGGAUUAGAUACCCUUGUAGUC